AACGACCGCAACUACGAGCAAAGCCAGUGCAUCCAACACUGCUCCAGUGAAGGCCACUACGUUGAAAGCAACAACCGUCAAAACACCGGCCACCAGAACCACACAAUCAAAAACUACUUCAGUCAAAUCUGGCGUUACCAGGAAGGUCCCUACUGCCUCUACUUUAACAGCAGCUGCUGCUACUUCAUCUACUACUGCUGCUGCUAUUUCUACCAUUGCUACGAUUAUCACUCCUGCGACGGCUGGAGUGGACGUAACUAGAGCGAGGUAUGCCACGGCAGGUCAGAUCCGAUCCGUCCAAUACUCGAGCCUGAAGGAAGUCGUGAUCCAAGACAAUCCGAUACCAAGUUUGUCGAAGGAAGUCACGAAUGCACCCAAAGAAGCCGACAAGGAAGCGAUCAAAAUCAUAGACGUCGACAUGGAACCGAUAGAAAUCAGCAGCGGGACGGACUGCGAAGACGAGGGUGAGCAGAGGGUGUUGAAAAAUUCGGCUGCGGAAGCGCCAAGCAACAAAAUGGAUGCUGAUAAAGUAGUCACUGAAGACAAAACUCCAGAAGAAGUGGUUGGAAGUACGAACAAUACGGCAGGAAAAGAUAAUAUGAAAAAUCUGAAGAAGUUGGAGAGAAGAUUUCAAGCCAAGAAAAGGUUGAAAGCGCCAAAAACGUUCAACGAAAUUUGCAAGAAGAUGAUUCGAAUGUGACGAAAGAAAAGAAAAAAGAGUCUUCCCCGUUGACCGACGUCUCUACGGAACAAACCGAUUCAGGAGAAAAGACAGUCGUUGAAGGGUCUGAGAAAUUGGAGGUGGAGUUGAGCGCGCAGCAGCCGAAGGAAGAGUGCGCAGUUGCUAUAAAAGAAGAGAAUUCAACAGAGAAACUAGCAGAGUUGGCUGAAGUGACGCCACAGCGACACAAGGAGAGACGGUUGUAGAGGAGCAGGAGGUAAAGAUGGAAGGUUCAACCACGGAAGCUGAAAGAGUCCAAGAAACGUCAAAGGCAGAAGUGACCACAAAGCCUGCGGAAGCGACGAAGGCCAAAGCGACAAAGGCCGAUGCGACGCCAAACACAACCCAGAAAAUCCCUGUCCCACAGAGUCCGAGUGCAGAAGCAGCGGGGCCGUCUCUGACCGCGGGCGAGACUCUUCUGGAAAGACGACUCACCUAUAACAACUUCAAACCAAGUUGUCUUUCUCUGUCCUACAUCUUCGGACCGAAAUUCCUUCUGACUGAGAGAAACCUGGUUAUUUUAUCCAACCUCCCGAAGUACGAUCCUCAGGACCCUUACACCGAGGAGCAGCUGGUGAAGAAGCUCAAGCCAUUUGGUUUCAAACACGAACCGAGCAACAUCUACAUCGUCCCUCAGUGCAAGAUGGCUUUUAUCACGAUGCCCGACGGUCGAGCGAUUCUGAAGCUGGUGAAAGCGUUUGUGAGAAGGCCGUAUGCCAACGCGAUGUUCCAGGGCUAUCACCUUAUUCCCCACGUCAUCAACGAAGGAAUGGUCGUCAUGGCGCCGGCUUGGUUUUACUGGUAUGUGUCGCGGAUGUGCAAAUUUCACUGCGAAAACACCGCAGACAAACUGGUCUUCAUCACAGGUGUUUCUGACAGCGACGCUGUGGAACUCCGGAAAAAGCUGGAGAAGAUCGGAUCGGUCAAUAACUACCUGCCGCUGCUCAACAGGGUGUUUGUGGAGUUUGACUCAAGCCUCGACGCCGACAGACUCGGAGUUUACCACAGUCUCUUGAACAAAACUCCUUCGUUCGAACUCAUCCGGCUGCAGAUCCCGUUCUAUGAAGGCAAAACUCUGCCUCCAUCUCAGGCGAUCAGAGCCAUGCCCGAGGGUUCAGAGAGGGCUCCGGGAGUGGUUGUCCCAGGGUCGAGCUUCGGGAUCCCCUUCGGAAGCAUCGGUCCGUUCUGGGUCACCAUGACGAACAAACCUUACUUCUACCCCACCAGGGCCCCCUGGUUCAUCAUCCCAGAUACACUUGCCUUGCCAAUGAGGAAGACCCCCAAUCAGCGCUUCCACGCAUUAAAUAAAAGAACCAUCAUGCUGACGCGUUUGCCUCUGGGCGACUACACUCACGAGGACGUGGCCCGGCUGGUUUGGACCUUUCUCCUGGGCAGAAACCUCCACUGUCUGUACUACGACGUCAUCGUGCUGCCUCUGCAGCGACGAGCGUUUAUAAACUUCUACACGGGGAAAUGUGCACAAUUCGCGGAGAUGUUCUUCAACUACGGAGUGAUGCUGAAUGGGAUCCAGCUCCAGCCGCACUACAUCGACAACAGCCUGUUCCCGCUGUCGUCAGAGGAGCAAAUGUACGCCACUUUUAUGAAGAUGAGCAACAAUCGAGCCCCGGUGAAGCUCGAGCUGGCUCAGCGGUUAAUCAGCGUCUUCGUGACAGAAGUGUCUCUCGAUGUGUUCCGACUUGUCAUUGAAGUCGUAACGUCCGCCGCCCCCAUCCUCGGCUUCCUGCCUCUGGCCAACAGGGUUUGUAUCGAGCUGCCCAAAGUCAGUGAUGUGGCCAAAGUGAGGCAGAAAUUCUGCAGCUACAACCCAGAAGACCGGAAGCAGAAGAUUCUCUGGAAAUGUGUCCUGACUUUGGAGACUGCGGCUGAUGUGGAACGGCGCGUAAAGAGGGCUCAAAAUGACAUUGUUUGCCUUGAAUCACCUUUCGACAAAUCGUUCAUGAGCAAAGAACAAAGGUCUCAUUACCACAUCUACUUGGGCAGAGAGGAGCAGAAUUGGCAGCGGGAGUGGGACAGAGCCAAUUCAUCCUCUGCUCGAUUUCGCAUGUCGUCUUCAAGAGAAUCAACGGCAUCUUCUACUUCUUCGUUUCUACUCAGAGUAGAAACGUUUACAGAAGACGUUCUCCUUCAUCUUCCCCUAGAAAACCCAGCGAGUCAUCUAAAUUUACAAAAUAUCACUCCAGCGCGUCUUCGAGUAAUAGCCGAUCCUCCUCUUCUCGCGAUAAGCAUUCGGAAAAGCCCAAGGACAGACCAAAGGAGAGCAACCCGGCAAAGUCUGGGCACGAGGGUUCGGGCAAAAGUUCUUCUAAAACACAAGAAAAGAAAGUAG
ensembl:lncRNA